UUACGGUCAUAUCACGCUGAAACACCGGUUCCCGUAGUGUCACUGAAGUUAAGCAACGACAAGCCUGGUCAGUACCUAAAUGGGUGACCGCUCGGGAAUACCAGCUGCUGCAA